GGCGGGGCCUCAUCGCACCUAGCCUGCCUCCGACCUGGGAGCUCGGUGCUGCAUCUUUCUUUACGAGAGUUAUUUAUUCAGCUAUUUUCAGCAACUCAUUUAAGAAGCGAUCCUGUUAAAUGUUUUCUGUUGCACACGUAAAGCUCGGUUAACUCUAGAUCCUUCCUACUUACAGUAUGGAGAGUUUAAAUGAGGACCUUCUGAGAAGCUUCAUGAGAUGAGUCUCAGAACUGUCCACUGAAAGCCAGAGUGGAAGAAGCAUUUAUCUGUCAGCUCCAAUCCACCUUUAAUCAAAGGGUAAUGCCCCUGGCCAUUAACUACUCUACACUUUGGAAAUGCACAGUUGUGAAUGCCAAGCUGACUCCUACAUCAGAGAAGUCCUGAGGCAAUCCCUCCAGCACCAUUAGAUCGGUGGGAACAAACGGUCUGAGCAUCAGGCAGCUCUCAUCACAACACUUCUGGGCAACAGAUCCAACUGAUAGGUACUUCAGCCUCACAAAUACUGAUGAAGGAACAUGGUGUACAUGUUCAGAGCGGCAGGGGACACAGGGACAAGCACACUAGAUUGAAAGCAUAAAAGCAUAUUCUCAUAAGGACCAAGCAAUC